rnacentral:rRNA from 1 species
AUACGUAGGGGGCGAGCGUUGUCCGGAAUUACUGGGCGUAAAGAGCUCGUAGGUGGUUUGUCGCGUCGUCUGUGAAAUUCCGGGGCUUAACUCCGGGCGUGCAGGCGAUACGGGCAUAACUUGAGUACUGUAGGGGAGACUGGAAUUCCUGGUGUAGCGGUGAAAUGCGCAGAUAUCAGGAGGAACACCGGUGGCGAAGGCGGGUCUCUGGGCAGUAACUGACGCUGAGGAGCGAAAGCAUGGGUAGCGAACAGGAUUAGAUACCCUGGUAGUCCAUGCCGUAAACGGGGGGCGCUAGGUGUAGGGGUCUUCCACGACUUCUGUGCCGUAGCUAACGCAUUAAGCGCCCCGCCUGGGGAGUACGGCCGCAAGGCUAAAACUCAAAUGAAUUGACGGGG